UUGAGCUGUAUGCAUUAGUUCUUAUCAGUACAGCCAAUCUCACGGCUCGCAUUUGAAACCUUUCUUCGUCGUCGUCGUCGUACUGCUCUUGGUUUGGUUUUUGCAAGAGCUACGCAACUCUUUCCAAACCAAUGUUAUUGUUUACCCUAUUUUCAACCACAGUAACGCAGUCUCGAAGAUCUGGAGCGACCGGUAACGGAAUUGACGUGUGAAUAAACCGUCCACCCAAAGCCCGUUGGCUGCACCAUGAAAAAAAGAGUUCCCGUACAUAUCAUCGACUUGAAGAAAUCAAACCAUUUCAGUACCAAUUAGCGCUCCUGUCCUGUCCACCCAGUAAACAUUCUGAGGGAAAACGCUGCUAAAAUGAAUCUGAGCCGCCCAGUCAGCGUGUGAGCGAAAACCCGCAGGGAAAAUAAAAACGCAGCGAAAAUGUUUGUUUACUUCUUCCCAUCGAGUAAACGCGGAUUCUAUUUUCGAUGUUGCGGCUAAUGAAAACUCGAAUACUAUAAUUUUGUUAGGUUACCUACGCUAGGUUAUUAGGCCAGUAGUAAGCAAGCGCAUCAGCAUUUUACCAUCAUCAUCAGUCGAGUUUGUAGUUCCGACUCAAGUAAUCAGGAAAGUCAGGAGUUAGUUUAGUUUCUGCGGAAUCAUAAGCAAGGUCAAUAAAAGCUAGAAAAAUCCUCUCAAAGUACAGUAAAUUAAACAUAUUAAAGUAUCAUCUAGUAUAUUAAUCAUCCCAACUCGAACCAAUAAAAAAACCUUUCACCACUACUACUACUACCACCACCACCACCCAUAAACGGCGUUUGUAUCACACCUAUCGCUAUGGCUGAAGAUUUGGCUGACCGAAUUGACGAUUAUAUCUGUGUUUUUGAAGGAGCCGGUGAUUUAACGAUGGACACACUCGUCAUGUUACUAUUCGCGUUAGUCGUAGUUGUAAUAGCACUAGUUUUCCUCUCGAAGCUACUGUACGAUAAGUAUGUGAAGAAGGGAUCAGCGGCGGCGGAGGGAGCCACUGCGAGCAGCGGAACAGUGCCCGGAAGUCCCGCGGCCAGCGUACUGCUGGCGGGUGGUCUCGGGUCUGCGACUGCUGUGGGCAAGGACGUUUCCCGGCUGUCGGAACCGAAGGAGGUGCUGGCAUCGAAGAAGGAAGCUCUUCUCGCGCAAGCGAAAAAUGGCACACUGGGGUCAGGCGCCCGCGUUGGCGGUGGCUUCGGUGGUAGUCCACCAUUCGGUCAGAAACCUGGCGUCGGCGGCUCUGCUAUAGUUCGGAAGCGAAUCUCCCGCAGGAGUCCCGGUCCCGAGUUGUCACAGAAGAAGCGAACGGUCAUUCCUCCAUCCAACAUCAACGGUUCGGAUAUGCAAGUGGUUCAAUGGGCUAUUCAUCUCUUCCGAUGGCUCUACUCUGAUCUGGUCGUCGUGAACAAGCUGAUGCAGGACUGGGUUGGUACUAUAAAUACCGCUUUGCUGUCCUACGUGGACCAGCACGAGAUGAUCGUCGAAGUGGUCCGAGUACUACCAGAAAGUCUACCUCCGAAUAUGUCCAGUAUCCUGUGCGAACCAGCCGAACAGCAGAACGAGGUGGAGCUGCUGUUUGAUAUCGAAACCACCCCAGUUCUGCAGAUCAAAGCGUUCAAAUCGACCAAUCAGAAAACGGACGUCUCGCAUUACAAGGCGACCGUGGCACGAUUGAAGACCCGCAUGAGUGUGAUAAUUAACUUUUUCGGACUCAAGGGUGAACUGAAAAUGGAGGGCUUUCCUGACAUCAAAAUCCAUCUGAAUAGUAUUGGCCCACUGAAAACUGCGAAUGCCCAAGAUGAGAAGAAACAGAGUGACCUCAUUACUGAACUGCUGGCGUCCUCCAUACGGGACGUCGUAUAUCCGAUCGAUUUCUCCAUUUACUCGACCUGUCCACGCCUGAUGGGCGAGGAACCGGAGGAAAUGAUGCCACUUGAUUACUCAGGUUACGGGUACGUUGACAAUUACCGUUCGUAUCAAGACGACUCGUUCAGUGCCAGUUUAUCGACUUCACCGAAGAAAUUAUUAGUUAAAAUUGUUAAAGCCGAGAGACUCCUGCAGUGUUCACAACCGUAUUGCGUCGUAGAAAUGGAUGAACCGGCCCAAAAGCACCAAACUGCCGGCAAAAUGGGAGUGAACCCCAUUUGGGAUGAUACUUUCUUGUUUGACUUGUCAAACCAUUCUACCGAACUCCUAUUCGAAGUGUAUGACUCUGUAGCAGUAGGUAAUGGCAAUGCGGUUGAUUCACUGUUAGCUCAGCCUGUUGUAGUUGAGGCCACUGUGCCGGCCCCGUCGCUAGUCAAAGUGGUUGCGAAUGUCGAGUGUGAUGAGAUUGUUACCUUGCAUGACAAUAAUAAUUCAAGCGAUCCCACUAACUGCAGUAAUAAUGAGCAAGCCGAUCGUGACCCAACUGCUGGUCGGGGGGUCACAAACGGCGACGAGACUGAUCGUGCCCAAUCGGAGACAGCUGCUGUGCCGGCAGCCACCAGAUUGUUUGACAAAAUUAACAAACCUAACACGCCCGCCGGAGGAUUCCAGCGAUUCUUGGGUUUGGGCUUGGUAGGGAUCGAUGAACUAGCGAACGGUCCCGCCUCGACCCAAAUUUUGGAACUACAGCCCAGACCAUAUGAGACGGAAAACAUCACCGGCACGCUGACAGUUGAGUUUGUGUUCAUUGAUGCUCCGCCAGCACCGGCUCCACGCCGCCAGCACACACAGCAAUCGUUCCGAACCAAUGGAGAAAUGAACUUCGCUAGGGAUGGCACAACGAAACUUUCCUCCAGUGCCCCGGCUACUGGUGGACCGACAUUGUCAGGUGUUGGAAAAAGUACAAUAUCAUCCGCCCCGACCUCACCCGCGAGAAAAUCCGUCGGAAUUAUUGAAACUGUCAGUUAUAUGGAUCGUAAUCAGCGCUUCCAAGCAGCCAACGCUAAUCGACUGAAUAAUUCCUUCCUGAAGCCCCCCUCGGCAUCCGACUCCAGCUUGAACGGUACUAAGCUACAUCCGUCCGAUUCCACCCCGGUUUCACCGGCGCUCUCGUCCGUUUCGCAAAGCUUCAGCGGUGGCAGCUUCAGCACCGGCUCUCCGGAGAAUGUAAGCAAGACACGCAACAUACUUGGCACACUGCGGAACAAACUGUCGCUCUCGAAAAAGUCCAAAUCGGUGGACAAUCCACAGUACAGCCCCAGCCAUCCGGGACAGAUCCACAGUGCCUCGUCGACGCUCAGUCGCGGCUCGUCCACGGAUCAGCGAUCGAACAUUUUCCCAAACAUUAAGAAUCUCUCCCGGAAAUCAUCGAUGUCGGAGUCUUCCGCCAUUUCUGGCCUCUCGAAUGCCAGCAAUCGAACCUACCUCCACGAGGAGUCUACGCUGCUGCUAGAAACGGUGGAGAACAACAUACGGCGGCACUAUCUGGUGCCGAUCGAGGUUGCUAUGCGGCAAAAAACGUGGAAGCGCAAGGGCACGAAGCUGCACGUAUACAACGAUCACACCUUCAUUGCGAAGCACCUUGCAGGAGGAGUCCUUUGCCAUGUAUGCAACCGUAGCAUCCCACGGCGUCCGGGAAAGCAGGGCUACGAGUGCCGCGAUUGCCUUAUCCAGUGCCACAAACCGUGCCAUGUGCGGGCACCGCAAGCUUGUCCAAAUCCGAAGAUCCUCUCGGUGCAACUAUCAUCAUUGCCCCUACUGAAAGAGUAAACGAUUUCUUUAAGUAAUUUUUAACAAGUGCUUUGCAUUGAUGAAAACCCCCAGCCCCCAAAUUAAAGUGGCCCUUCUCAUAAGAAGGACAUUUCAAACCAAUUUCAUCUGGGCAUUUAACAACUGUCAUCAGGAACCAAGGUUACCGUUGCGGAUAUUCAAAGUUACGAUCCUAAAAAUCCAGCACAACCGACUAGGCUGAUGCUGACCGUUUACGGUCAGCAUCAGCCUAGUCACGAAUUCUUAUACAUAAACAAGACAUAAUGAUUGUAACUAAAUCGUUGAUAAUUCAUUUUUCAGCAUCCAACACAAUAAACAUAAACAUUUGAUUAUUGGGUGUUUUUCAGUCGUAGACAAAUAAAACAAAAAAUACUACCAUCUUGAGCGUAACAAAGCGUUGACCAAAGUGAAAAUUUUUUCUACAAUGGUGAUAAAACUGACAACCCAUAACAAUCGCUGUAGUUUAUUUUCUAGUAAGUCGAAAUAUUUAUUAGGAUUAAUUGAAAAAGGUGAAGACAAAGAAGAUCAAAAAAGCAUCUCUGGUCCUUUGGAUUGUGAAGGGAAUUAAACGUUCAGCACGCACAGAAGCCAAUCAAGUGCGUUAAACGUGGUUAACAGUUUAGACCGUUUCCUAAAUAGCUUUACAACAAGCGCUCUGCUCUGCUCUCCUAUUACUUUACUGUUAGGUAUUUAUAACUUUCAAAUUACUAAUAGGCAGGCCAAUUUCGUUGCCCAAGCUGAUAAAACGACUAAAAUUCGAACCUCUCUAUCCAAAAUUCUCGAUCGCGGGAAAAUAAAGAUUAAACAAGCUGA